CCAGUCGGCCGGGCGGCCGCCCCGCUUAUAUAUUGGCGGGGAGGAAAGUCCGGGCUCCACGGAAACACGGUGCCGGUUAAUCGCCGGCGGGGGAAACCCCAGGGAAAGUGCCACAGAAAGCAAACCGCCCCGCCUAUAUAUCGGCCCCCUUGCGGCGGCCUGGCCGCGAUAGACGGGCCGAUAUGUUGGCGGGGCAAGGGUGAAAGGGUGGGGUAAGAGCCCACCGCGUUCCUGGCAACAGGAACGGCACGGCAAACCCCACCGGGAGCAAGACCGAAUAGGGAUGGCGGGAAGGGCAACCUUCAGGGCUGUUUCCGGCCCGGCCAUCCGGGUUGGUUGCAUGAGGCGGAUGGCGACAUCCGUCCCAGAUGAAUGGCCGCCACGUUCCGCCGCCGCGAGGUGGCGGGGCCAUACAGAACCCGGCUUACAGGCCGGCUGGCGUU
rnacentral:RNase_P_RNA from 3 species